GAAGAAUGGACAACCAGACUUCGAUCCAACGUGUCUUUCUUUCGUGUGUCUUAUGGAACCACAGUUGUUUUCUUUCUCUUUUACUUUCUUCUUACGUCCCCUUUCCUAUUAAUGGAACUUUUAACAGUAACUGGCUUGUGGACUUACUUUUUCCA
rnacentral:ribozyme from 1 species